GUAUGCACGUAAAGGUUGCACCUUUACGUGACUUUUGAGUGUUUAAGGGUUAGAUCCAUGAUUUGGUUAAGCAGAUCUGACCUCAGGAGGUUAUUUGAGCAAGUCCAUGGAGGAAACUCGCCGAGUGCAUAUGUAGACUCGACGAGUUGGACCGGGUUGCCCCGGGGUCUGACUCCAGUGGUGACUCGGUGAGUUGAGGGGUGACUCAGUGAGUCGAGUGAAUCUUAGAAAGGGAAGAGUAUGUGGGAAUGAUGGGACUCGCCGAGUCGUCGUAUGCACUCGGCGAGUCUGGUCGAAAUGGACAGGUGACUUUUGGUUAACUUUUAGGGUUUGUCAACAAAUGGGCCUUCGGGUCUGAGGAGGGGUAGAAUGGUCUUUUACCCUUCUAGGGAUUUGCAUCAGAGAAUAUCCAAUUUGUGAAGAGACAUUUAUUUAGUGUAAUUUAUUAUUGUGUCUAGGAGGAGGCUAGGGCAGUAUUCUGAUAUCGAGAUUUUACCGAGUUACCCGAGGUGAGUCUUCUCACUAUACUUUACCUAGAGUGGUAAUUAGAGUUAUGUGACAGAGUAUGUUGUAUGCUUUUGCAUGAUAUGAUUUCUUUGUGAUUUAUGAUAUGUAUGUUACAGAGUUUACAGAGUUAGGACCAGAAGGUCCACAGAGUUAGGGCCAUAGGGCCUACAGAGAUAGGGGACUACAGGGUCCCACUGAGACACAUUGACCAGAGGGUCAAACAGAGUUAUAGCCUCGAGUGGCUAAUAUGUGGUGUGUAUGGUAUUUUGGGGAACUCACUAAGCAUUUAUGCUUAUAGUGUUGUGUUAUGUGUUUCAGAUACCAGUGAGGAUUACGGGAAGGCGCCAGCUUGAUCAGUACACACAGGACGAGCCUUUUUAUAUUAUGAUAUUGGGAUGUGAUGUUAUGAUUUAACUAUGUGAUACAGUGAUGUUUUAUAACAAUGAUGAAUGAAAAGGUGUUUUAAAAAAUGUGAAAAUUUAUUUGAAAAUUUGGGUGUUACAAGUUGGUAUCAAAGCCUUGGUUUGAGGGAUUCGGGUGCACCUUCGGGCGUAUCUGAACUCAAACUGAGGAUUUGAGGGGUUUUCAAAAUAAAAGUUACGAAAAUUUUCUCAAGAUUAAAAAGUUUUUGAAAGAGCAUAGCAGAGCAGUAUGUACGAUCAGCCAGCGCCGAAAUGGUGAUUUCCCAAAAUACCCGUACUUUAUGAUUUAUGAGAUAUGUUAUGAUAUGAUAUGCCUACUAGAGUAGGCUAGGUAUUCUUAUUAGGACUAGAGUGGCCUAAUUUAUGAUGCCUUAGCCUAUGGAUUUUGCUGCUAGGAGAUGCUUGAGAGCGAAUAGAUAGCAGCGAGGAGCUUAUGAGAGAUUUACUUCAGAGUAGACUAUGUAUAGAGAGAGAGAGUAGAGUACUAGGGAUUUGGUAUCCUAGGAGGAGGACUUAAGGUGAAUAUUGAUGCGGUGUGGGCGGUACUAUUGGGCCCGUACUACCAAAGGCACCGAAUCAGUGUGCAGCCCAAGUAAGAAUCCUUAGGGUACCAGGGAUCAAGUAGGAUUAGGAUAUCGAGUGUAUGUAUACUCGAGCGAGUCUCUGAUAUCUUGUGUUGUAUUUCAGAGAGACAUCAUGGUGGGGACACGCCACGGGCCAGGGACUAGUGAUGGGGGUGUGAGCGAUGAGGAGCUCCGCCAGAUGAUUCAUGAUGAGGUGGCUGUUGCCAUCCGCGCUGAGAUUCUAGAGAUGUUCGGGUCUAUCAAGACCACCCGGAUCGAGACUUUUGAUGAGCGUUAUGCUACUCUUACUGAUGUUGUUGUUGUUGCAGCCACUGCGGCCGUUGCUGUUGCCAAGCCAAAGGGGGGUGACGCGUUGCUGUACCGGAAGUUCAGCAACACGAAGCCACCAGAGUUUGAUGGGACUCAAGAUCCGAUAGCUGCGAUGAGGUGGAUCUAUGACAUUAAGGGGUGCUUCUACACAUGUUCAUGUCCGGAACAUCUGAGGGUUCGGUUUGCACUGAACCAGCUUCGCUUGGGGGCGAAGGAUUGGUGGAAGUUUGUGACAGUGCACUAUUCUUCUGCAGAGCUUGAUGCGGUGACCUGGGAGAGGUUCACCGCUAUAUUUCGUGAUGAGUACUUUCCCCCGUUAGAAAGGGAGCGUUUGGCCUAGGACUUCUUGACCCUCAAGCAGGGUACAGAGUCUGUUACUGUGAUCAUCAGGAUGUUUCAUGAGAGGGCGAUGUUCUGCCCUGAGCACGCGUCUUCUGAGUAGGCACGUAUGAGCCGGUAUUUGAGCAUUUUGAGGAGAGACAUCCGCGAGUGCGUGGAGAACUCGACGUACCGGACAUUUGCCGAGCUUCAGGAAAAUGCUCGAAAGAGGGAGAUUGAGCUAGAGACUCAGGCCAGGGAGGAGGCGGAGUCUCAAGGGAGGGAUCGGCGACCGGCACAGUCCCAACUGGCUGCCAAGCGGGCUAAGCCCGCCGAUUUGAGAUCUGGGAACCAAAAGGGCCGCACUUGUGGCAAGUGCUGAAAGAUUCGUGAGGGGGUGUUUAGAGAAGGGUCUUGCUACAAGUGUAGCAAGGAGGGGCAUAUGGCCAAGGAUUGCCCCAAGGGGUUUGCAGUUUGUUUUCACUGCAACAAGACUGUACACCGGAAGGCCGAGUGUCCGCAAUUAUGAGGGUCAGUUCAAGGAGCUUCUCAGGGUUCUAUCCUUGCUGCUGUUCUAGCUUCAGAGAGUCAGCCGAUGAAGGUUAAGGCGCCGAAGGCUCGCGGGAGAUCCUUCCAGUUGACAGUAGAGGAGGUCCACGCAGCACCCGAUGUUGUGGCUGGUAUGUAUUCUUUCAUAUGUUUAUUCUAAGUUUGUGGUGUUAUGCUUAUAUUGUGAUAUGCGUAGGUACAUUUCUUGUAUGUCCUGUGCAUGCUUUGGUGUUAUUUGACUCGGGUGCGAUUCGGUAUUUUGUAUCGGUAGCCUUUAGUCAACACAUCAGUAUUCGUCGUGAGGCAUUGAGUCGACCUUUUGCGAGUUUCCAUAGCUGACGAGAGAGCAGUUUAUGCCACUGAUGUAAUUCGAGGAUGUGUGCUCGAGAUAUUCGGCGUUGAGUUUUCUAUUGAUUUAGUCCCAAUUGCUAUGGGAGAUGUCUAUGUCAUUGUGGGCAUGGACUGGUUGAGCAGAUUUGGACCGGUUAUCGACUGCGAGCGACAGCUGGUGACCAUACGAGGCCCUAGUAGGGGAGUUCUUACAGUUUAUGGUGAGGGUACCCGUUCUGGGUCGGCAUUUUGUUCAGCCGUGAGAGCAAGGCAGAGUUUACAGCAAGGCUGUAGUGGGUUUGUGGCUUAUGUGGUAGAUACAAGGGUAGGUGCAAAAAGACCCAGAUCGGUUGAUGAGGUCCCGGUAGUAUGUGAGUUCCCGGAUGUUUUCCCCAAGGAGUUGUCGGGUGUGCCUCCCGAGAGGCAGGUGGAGUUCCGUAUCGAUUUGAUUCUGGGGGCAGCGCCUAUUGCCAAGGCGCCCUAUCGCCUUGCACCUCCAGAGAUGCAGGAGUUAUCCUCGCAGCUUCAGGAGCUGCUGGGGAAGGGGUUUAUCCGGCUGAGUAGCUCGCCGUGGGGAGCGUCGAUCCUUUUUUUCAAGAAAAAUGAUGGUUCACACCGGAUGUGCAUUGAUUACCGGGAGUUGAACAAGCUGACGGACAAGAACCAUUACCCCUUACCGAGGAUCGACAAUUUGUUCGAUCAGUUGCAGGGAGCAUCUUGGUUUUCCAAGAUUGAUUUGAGGUCUGGAUAUCAUCAGAUGAGGGUGCGUGUUGAGGAUAUUUAGAAGACAUCGUUCAGGACUCGUUACGGGUAUUACGAGUUCGUGGUGAUGCCUUUCGGGCUCACCAAUGCACUGGUGGCGUUCAUGGACCUCAUGAACAGGGUGUACAGGCCGAUGUUGGAUCAUUCGGUGAUCAUGUUCAUUGAUGAUAUAUUGGUGUAUUCGAGGUCCAGAGAGCAGCAUGAGGAGCAUUUGAGGGAGAUCCUCGAAGUUCUGAGAUCGGAGAGGCUUUACGCCAAAUUCUCCAAGUGUGAUUUCUAGUUACGGGAGGUCCAGUUUCUUAGGAAGCUCGUCAACCAGAAUGGGAUAUUGGUCGAUCCGGCCAAGAUUGAGGCGGUUAUGAGUUAGGAGGUGACGAGAUCCCCUUUGGAGAUCAGGAGUUUCCUGGGGUUGGCCAGAUAUUAUCGGAGAUUCAUUCAGGAUUUCUCUAGGAUUGCGGUUCCUCUCACCAGGCUGACCCGGAAGGGCGUGGGUUUCAGUUGGGGCCCGGAGCAGUAGGCCUCAUUCGAGACACUUCGCCAGAGAUUGUGUGAAGCCCCAGUGUUGGCCCUUCUAAAGGGAAUGGAGGACUUUGUGGUAUAUUGUGACGCGUCGAUAUCGGGACUGGGUGUGGUGCUAAUGCAGAGAGGGCAUGUGAUAGCAUACGCAUCGAGGCAGCUAAAACCUCAUGAGAGGAGGUAUCCUAUGCAUGAUCUGGAGUUAGGGGUUGUGGUGUUCGCCCUCAAGAUCUGGCGUCACUAUUUGUAUAGGGUUCGGUGUACCAUAUACACGGACCACAAGAGCUUGAAGUAUUUGAUGGAUUAGACCAACCUGAACAUGCGUCAGAGGAGAUGGUUGGACGUGGUAAAGGAUUAUGAGUGUGAGAUCCUAUACCACCCGGGAAAAGCUAACAUGGUAGCCGAUGCCUUAAGUCGCAGGGUAGAGAGUGCCCCUUUGCGAGAUGUUUGUAUGAGGCUGACAGUGAUGACUCCGUUUUUGGAUGCCAUUCGAGAGGCCCAGGUGGAGGCCAUGAGAUCGGAGAACCGCAAGCGAGAGCGGGUGAUUGGGCAGAUGUCAAAGUUCAUUGUCGAUAGUCGGGGGCUUAUGACCUUCCAGGGACGUAUUUGGGUGCCAUUUGAGGGUGGGACACAUGCUAUUUUGACAGAGGAGGCGCACAGGUCGAGGUUUUCGAUCCAUCCCGGGGCCACUAAGAUGUAUUUGGACCUGAAAAGAGAUUAUUGGUGGCCCUGUAUGAAGAGGGAUGUGGCUUGGUUUGUAGAGAGGUGCUUGACCUGUCGCACGGUUUAGACUGAGCACAAGUGUCUGCAUGGCAAGUUGCAGCCGCUUAAGGUUCCCCAGUGGAAGUGGGAAUAGAUUUCCAUGGAUUUUAUCACCAAAUUGCCAAGGACUGCGAGAGGCGUCGAUGCAAUUUGGGUGAUCGUUGACCGGAUGACGAAGAGCGCUCAUUUUCAUGCUAUCAGUGAGAGAGGUGGUGUCUCGGCAUGGGGUGCCGAUCUCGAUUGUGUCCGAUCGAGAUGUGCGUUCCACUUCCAGGUUUUGGAAGAGGUUUCAUGAGGAGUUGGGUACAAGAUUGCAUUUCAGCACUGCUUACCACCCUCAGACCGACGGUCAGAGUGAGCGGACUAUUCAAACGCUCGAGGACAUUUGUUGGGGAGAGGUAGGUCAACGAGUGAUGGGUAGUACGGAGAUAGUGCUCCAGACUACUGAACAGAUUCAGCAAGUCAGACAGAGGUUUCUGCUGGCUCAGAGUCGUCAGAAGAGUUACGCGGAUAAGCGUCGCCCAAAGCCUGAGUUCCAAGUUGGUGAUUUUGUUCUCCUUAAGGUAUCACCUUAGAAAGGUGUGAUUCAGUUCAGGAAGAGAGGCAAGUUGGGGCAUCGGUAUCUUGGUCCAUUCAAUGUAAUCACGAGGGUAGGCAGAGUAGCGUAUCGUUUGGAGUUACAUGUGGAGUUGGGUCAGAUUCAUGAUACCUUCCACGUGUCUUAGUUGAGGAAGUGUAUUGCCGACAAAUUGGCAGUAGUACCAUUGGAGGAUAUUUAGGUGGAUGCGAGCCUGAAUUAUGUUGAAAGGCCAAUAGCGAUAAGGGAUCUAUGGAUCAAGGUUUUGAGAAACAAGGAGGUGUCCUUGGUGCAGGUUCAGUGGCAGCAUCAGAAAGGGUCCGAGCUGACAUGGGAACCGGAUAUCAAGAUGCGUCAGCAGUACCCAGAGUUAUUUGAAGAGCGAGACUUCGAGGGCGAAGUCUGAUUCUAGCAGGGCAGAAUCGUAACAACCGGAUUUUGGGUAUAUAAUUUUAUUUUUUGGAAUUAUUAUUUGAGGGAACUCGACGAGUUGGGGCCUCAACUCGUCGAGUAGAGUCUUAUCUGUUGGCGGGUUUUUGCGACCGGACUCGACGAGUCGGGUAUCUGACUCGCCGAGUCGGUGCUGAUUAGGAAAACUCUAAUCCCCAGGUUUGGGAGCCUAUUUAAAGACCAUUAUGGCCUUCAUUUGCGGCAACCUUGUUCUAGAGAAACCCUAGAGAGCAGAGAUAGUGAGUUUGAGGGCAAGAGGGGGCUAUUUCUUCAUCUUUUGUGUGGAUUUGCUUGAAGGAAGGAAGGAGCACAAAUCUAGAGUGUGAAGGGGACUGGAUCUGAGCUAAUCAUCUAGUGAUAUCAUCUUUGGAGGUAUAAUCCUUUCCAUUUCGUGUUAUAUUGUUGGAUUUCUUGAUUUUAGGGUUUUUACCCUCAUUUUUAUGGAAGAUCUAGUGAGUAUGAGGACCCCCUUUGGAAUUGACAUCGGAUCUGGACCAUGAGAGGUCCCUAGAGUUAUUAUUUCCAGCUUUUUGCAAGCAAAUAAGGAAUUGGAGACUAGGUUACCAUUUCUAGUGUUAUUUCUCCAUUUGAGGCUUGAUACGGGUUGUAUGCACGUAAAGGUUGCACCUUUACGUGACUUUUGAGUGUUUAAGGGUUAGAUCCAUGAUUUGGUUAAGCAGAUCUGACCUCAGGAGGUUAUUUGAGCAAGUCCAUGGAGGAAACUCGCCGAGUGCAUAUGUAGACUCGAUGAGUCGGACCGGGUUGCCCCGAGGUCUGACUCCAGUGGUGACUCAACAAGUUGAGGAGUGACUCAGUGAGUCUAGUGAGGCUUAUAAAGGGAAGAGUCUGUGGGAACGAUGGAACUCGCCGAGUCGUCGUAUGCACUCGGCGAGUCUGGUCGAAAUAGAUAGUUGACUUUUGGUUGACUUUUAGGGUUUGUCAAC
rnacentral:lncRNA from 1 species